GGCCUCCCAAAGUGCCGGGAUUACAGGCGUGAGCCACUGCAGCCAGCCUUGGAAGAAAUUUAAAUGCAUGUUACUAAGCAAGAGAAGCCAACCAAAAAUGCUACAUACUGUAUUACUUCAAAUAUGUGGCAUUCUGGAAAAGGCAAAACUUUUUGGAGACAGAAAAAGGAUCAGCGGUUGCCAGGGUUUAGAGGGAGGGCAGGAUGCAUAGGUGGCACACUGAGGAUAUUUAGGGCAGUGAAACUGUUCUGCAUGACACGGUAAUGGUGGAUGCAUUCCAUUAUACAUUUGUCAAGACCUAUAGAAGGUCUACCACCAAGAGUAAGCCCUACGUAGACUAUGGACUUUGGGUGAUAAUGACCUGUCAAUGUAGGAUUAGCAAUAGUAACAAAUGCACUGCUUUGGUGAAGGACACUGAUAAUGGAGGAGGCUGUGCACAUGUGGGAACAGGGUAUAUAUGUGGGGAAUCUCUGUAUCUUCCACUCAAUAUUGUUAUGAGUCUAAAACUGCUCUAAGAAACAGUCUAUUCUUUAAGAAAUAGGAGAAAAGAGGAGAAGAAAGAGGGGGCGGGGGAAACAGGGAGAUCUGUAGGCUCCUGCGGAAGGUCAUUGCAAAAUACUGGUGAUUCCAGGGAAGGUUGGAACAGCCUCUUUCUGAGAAAAAAUGAGUGUGGCAGAUGUCAGCAGAUACAAUCAUCCUCUGCCGCCUGCUGCUCUUCCUUUAUUCUUGGGUCUCUGAGCUUCUCUUUCUUGUCUGAACCCCUUUGCACACAAGGAUUAGCCAAUCAGAAUGCUUUCUCCCACUGGCAACAGUGAAGACUCCAUCCUGGAGAAUCAGAACCUUCUCUAGGAUUUUUGUUGAACUUUCAACUGUUGGUUGAAAUGGUUGCCGUGGAGAUGGUCUCAGCCUAGAGCGGCUGCUGUUCAGCUUUGGCCCCUGAAGGGAGAACACAUCUGAGGAUGAAGAAUGGUUGAGGCAUUUGUUCCUCUGGUUUUCUCUCUGCUCCAGUGCAGCACUGGGGCAGAAGUGGUUCCUCCAUUAUUAGCAGCCCAGGGUUCUUUCAACCUGCCUACAUCUGGAAAAUACCUCCUUAUCAAACUCUUCAUCACCAGUGUCAGUUCAUGGUCAGUUUCUUUCCUGAGCCCUGACCCACACCCAGGGAAAGGCCAACCUUCCGUGGCCAAGAUGAAGCCUCUUCCACUGUCAGCUGGGCACUUCUAGGGGCUGUGAGCGCUGAAGAAUGGAGAGAUUCAGGCCAUGUGUGUGGCUCUACCUCCUGAGAAACAGGCGUUAUCAGGCCUGGGCUUUGCUCACAGCACCUGCCGGCUCCUGGGAAGAAGCCACAUCUGCCUCGAACUGCCCUGACUGCCUUUGUUACGAUACCUACCCGUGGCUUGCUUGUGCCAACUCUGAAAACACAGGGCUGCCUGAGGGAGCUCUCGUGUUAGCAAGCAGCAGCUCGUGGGUAAGGAAAGCCCCUUCAUUUAUUAACAUUAAAGUGAUUGCAAACUCGUAGGUGAGAUACUUAUGCAUUGGGCUCUGUCUGGAUAAUUCACCUGUAUUAACUCAGCCGAUCCUCUUAACUCCAUAAGGAAGGAAUCCUUAUUGUCCCCAUCUUAAAGACCUCCGAAACGAAACCAGAGAUACUGAAUGAUUUGCCUGGGAUGACUCCGCUACCACUUGGCACAGCCACGGUGCAAACCCAGUUGGGCUGGCACUGAACACCCAGACUGUAGAUCCCUCCUGCCUGACUCAAGAGCCUCUGUCUAUAUGGAAGCAAUCAACUUAAGGUCACAAGAGGCCCAUUUCAGAAUGGGUUCUGUCCCACACUCUGGAGGAAGGAAUGCUGUAUGAGGAGGCCUAGAAGAAUCUGAACAGACAGGCUUUACUGGAGUUCCCCACUCGGCCCGUUAGUAUUAGACCAGAUCUUUUUGUCCAGUCACAUUUCUACGUGGUUGCCUAUCAAAGAAGUCUCUAUAAAAAGUCCAAGAGAACAGGGUUUGGGGAGCUUCCAGGAGGCAGGAAGGUGAACAAGAAUUCAUCCACAUGCCAGACAGCUGGUGCAUCCCAAAUCCAUGGAGACAGAAGCUCCUGCACUCAGACCCUUCCAGACCUCACCCUACAUGUUUCUUCAUCUGGCUGUGUAUUUGUAUCCUUUGAAAUAUCCUUUGUAAUAAACUGUUAAACAUAA
rnacentral:lncRNA from 1 species